rnacentral:misc_RNA from 1 species
GAGAGAACGUCUGGCAUGUCAGGUGUUAGCACAGCAACUGCGCCAUCUGGUAUUUCCUCUUCCCCCUUAACCUUUUUAGCCACUAAGAUUGUAGGCCGUGAAUAGGUUUUAUUCUGAACAGCAAGCAAUUCAUCCACAACAACAAUGUAUCCAGCAACUUCAAUAGGGCUUAUGACCUGCCAACUUCCCAGAUUUGCUACAUUCCGAAGAACUGGGUCAAGUCGAUUGAGAAGUACUGAUAAAGAAGCAGCUGAUCCAGCACGAAUAAUUUCUUCAGUAAAUAAGUUUACUGCCCCCUGAUCAACUCCAAGCAAUGAUCCCAGGUAUUCAGCUGAAGGUUGCAGAAUAUCCUGGUACUCCUCCGCCUUGCUUGAUAGGGCAAGUCUAGUUCUAUC